rnacentral:lncRNA from 1 species
GACAAUUUUUCACAAUUUGUUCAUCAUAUUUGCUAACUUUAAAAAAUCUUCUCCUCUAAAACUACUAAACCAAAUUCAACCAAACUUCAACUGAAUGAUCAGUAGGGUGUAUAAAAUAAAGUUUGUGCUUUAUUUUUUAUUUCAUCAAAAAACAUGGCCGUCAUGGCUAAAAAUAGAACACAGGGUAAAAUGCAGUUUUUGGCUUAUAUCUCAAAAACUCCAGCAUUUAGAGCAAAUAAGACAAGAAGUUAAAGUAUUUAUUAGGUCAAGGUCUACCUGUCCUGAAAUUUUCAACCGAAUUG